UGUUACAUCAGCAGACUGAGGAGGAGGGACUAACAGGUGAUCUCUGUUACAUCAGCAGACUGAGGAGGAGGGACUAACAGGUGAUCUCUGUUACAUCAGCAGACUGAGGAGGAGGGACUGACAGGUGAUCUCUGUUACAUCAGCAGACUGAGGAGGAGGGACUGACAGGUGAUCUCUGUUACAUCAACAGACUGAGGAGGAGGGACUGACAGGUGAUCUCUGUUACAUCAACAGACUGACAGGUGAUCCCUGUUACAUCAACAGACUGACAGGUGAUCCCUGUUACAUCAACAGACUGAGGAGGAGGGACUAACAGGUGAUCUCUGUUACAUCAGCAGACUGAGGAGGAGGGACUAACAGGUGAUCUCUGUUACAUCAGCAGACUGAGGAGGAGGG